GACGUAGGGCGCGAGCGUUGUCCGGAUUUAUUGGGCGUAAAGAGCUCGUAGGCGGCUUGUCGCGUCGAAUGUGAAAUCUCAGGGCUCAACUCUGACAUUGCAUUCGAUACGGGCAGGCUAGAGUUCGGUAGGGGAGACUGGAAUUCCUGGUGUAGCGGUGAAAUGCGCAGAUAUCAGGAGGAACACCGGUGGCGAAGGCGGCUUCCUGGACCGACACUGACGCUGAGGCGCGAAGGCUAGGGGAGCAAACGGG
rnacentral:rRNA from 1 species